CCAGACUCCUACGGGAGGCAGCAGUGGGGAAUAUUGCGCAAUGGGCGGAAGCCUGACGCAGCGACGCCGCGUGGGGGAUGAAGGCCUUCGGGUUGUAAACCCCUUUCAGCAGGGACGAAGCGGAAGUGACGGUACCUGCAGAAGAAGCGCCGGCUAACUACGUGCCAGCAGCCGCGGUACACGUAGGGCGCAAGCGUUGUCCGGAAUAAUUGGGCGUAAAGAGCUCGUAGGCGGUCUGUUGCGUCCGCUGUGAAAACUCGGGGCUUAACCCCGAGCUUGCAGUGGAUACGGGCAGACUAGAGGUAGGUAGGGGAGAAUGGAAUUCCCGGUGUAGCGGUGAAAUGCGCAGAUAUCGGGAGGAACACCGGUGGCGAAGGCGGUUCUCUGGGCCUUACCUGACGCUGAGGAGCGAAAGCGUGGGGAGCAAACAGGAUUAGAUACCCUGGUAGUCCACGCCGUAAACUUUGGGCGCUAGGUGUGGGAUCCUUCCACGGAUUCCGUGCCGCAGCUAACGCAUUAAGCGCCCCGCCUGGGGAGUACGUCCGCAAGGCUA
rnacentral:rRNA from 1 species